CUCUCAAUUGUUUUAUGCUUGCAUAAAUGAUUUUUGGAUUCGGAGCGAGUGGCGAACUGGUGAGUAACACGUGGGUAACCUGCCCCGAAGCGGGGGAUAACAUUUGGAAACAAGUGCUAAUACCGCAUAAUUAGUUGGAACCGCAUGGUUCCAACUUGAAAGAUGGCUCUGCUAUCACUUUGGGAUGGACCCGCGCCGUAUUAGUUAGUUGGUGAGAUAAAAGCCCACCAAGACGAUGAUACGUAGCCGACCUGAGAGGGUAAUCGGCCACAUUGGGACUGAGACACGGCCCAGACUCCUACGGGAGGCAGCAGUAGGGAAUCUUCCACAAUGGACGAAAGUCUGAUGGAGCAACGCCGCGUGAGUGAUGAAGGUUUUCGGAUCGUAAAACUCUGUUGUUAAAGAAGAACAAGUGUUAGAGUAACUGUUAACACUUUGACGGUAUUUAACCAGAAAGCCACGGCUAACUACGUGCCAGCAGCCGCGGUAAUACGUAGGUGGCAAGCGUUGUCCGGAUUUAUUGGGCGUAAAGCGAGCGCAGGCGGUUUUGUAAGUCUGCUGUGAAAGCCCUCAGCUCAACUGAGGAAGUGCAGUGGAAACUACAAAACUUGAGUACAGAAGAGGAAAGUGGAACUCCAUGUGUAGCGGUGAAAUGCGUAGAUAUAUGGAAGAACACCAGUGGCGAAGGCGGCUUUCUGGUCUGUUACUGACGCUGAGGCUCGAAAGCAUGGGUAGCGAACAGGAUUAGAUACCCUGGUAGUCCAUGCCGUAAACGAUGAAUACUAGGUGUUGGAGGGUUUCCGCCCUUCAGUGCCGCAGCUAACGCAUUAAGUAUUCCGCCUGGGGAGUACGACCGCAAGGGUUGAAACUCAAAGGAAUUGACGGGGGCCCGCACAAGUGGUGGAGCAUGUGGUUUAAUUUCGAUGCUACGCGAAGAACCUUACCAGCUCUUGACAUCUUCUGCCAACCCAAGAGAUUGGGCGUUCCCUUCGGGGACAGAUGACAGGGUGGUGCAUGGGUUGUCGUCAGCUCGGGUCGUGAAAUGUUUGGGUUUAAGUCCCGCACGAGCGCACCCCUUAUUUAUUA
rnacentral:rRNA from 1 species